AUGAAAUAAAUGGAUGUGAGCCAGUUUAUGUACUAAGGAUAAAGCUAAAUCUGGGAUGGGGGAUGGGAAGCAUAAAAGUGGGAGUUUGAUUUUAGAACAGGUGACCAGGACUAGCUUUGCUGACAAGUUGACAUCUUCCAGGAAGGUGAGCCUUGGAAGAAGUGACAUUGUGCUCGCCCCAAACAGAGGACACCUUGGUUCAAAGGAAUGGUUCACGCAAAGGUCUCCAGAGAGGAACCCACUUACAGCUCAGAGGUGGAGCCAAGCGGACCAGAAGGAAAGUGAUGGAGACAGGGAAAACAGGCCAGAUACCGUAGGGUCUCGGCUUCGACUUCCCCCCCCUGGAUCAAAGGGGAUUUGUAGGGUUUUUGUUUUGUUUUAAGCAACAGCAUCAUCCGGAUUACUGGGGGGAAGUCUUUUGAAAUGCAAUCUUAAAUUGAAAGCAAAUCUGAGCUGGAGGGUAGAUCAGAGGUAGAGCCCUCACUAGAAUAUACAGUGUUGCAGGUGCACGCUCCAGCGCUGGGAAGGGUAGAGAAAUUGUACUGCUCCGCCCCGACCCCAGGCAGCCUCUCAAGUUCUGAAUCUACCUACACAGUCACACAGAGUGAGCAUAGACACUUACACACCUAUCCACAGAGAGAGGAGAAAGAAUGCUACAUUGGUUGUGCUCCAUGAACAUGUUAGCACCCCUAGUAGCCUGACUCCAUAGUCUAUGGAUUGUGACAAAAGCCAGUUAAGAGAGCUCCCCGCUUGUAGUUUGCCAAGGUGUUUUGCUUUUUGGGUUUUAUCUAAUGAAUAGAUAACUGGGUUUUCAAACACUUCUGGUUUACCUUUUCAACGGUUGAAUGUUCUCUCACGAAUCAAUAAGUUGGACCUCUGGAGCUUGUCUGUGUACCACGGCCUCCGGGUCCUGCCAUGACCUGCUCUUGUCAGAGAAACCUGGAGCCACCAUCCUCUCCAGUGCCCCUCCCCCCAUGUCUGAAGGACUACCUCACAGCAGGGUUCAAGUUGCCUCAACCUAGGCUAACUAUUCUGCCACAGAACUACACUCCACCUCGCCCCACUUACUUCAGCAUAAGGUAACCCUCUCCAUUUCCCCGCCGCCCGUGCUCGUUGCCAGUAGGUUUUGCUACAUGGGAGGCUGGUCACACCCUGUCCUUAUGGAGAAGUAGGAUGUCCACAGGAUAUUGUGUGGCUGACUUCUGGCAGGGAUGGGACCCAGUCCCCAAGAAGCAGAAGAGACUACUUUGCAACCUGAGGUGAAGAUAGAGCACGUACUUCCUCUUGAGUUGGGUUAAGACACUGAAUCAGCAGUGGGAAGAAAAGGGGAACUGUUUCUCCUGUUGGCAGUUACACAACUAUAAAUAAAUCCUCAUUAGCCACUGGCUCUGCACUAGGAGAAAUGCAGAUUAUACAUGCAGAGAAAAUAAGAUUAUAGUUGGGCAUGGUGGUCUACAAAAAGAGUCCAGCACAGCCAGGAGCCAGGAGCCAGGGCUAUAUGUAGAAACCCUGUCUCAAAAAACCAAAAGAAGAGGAAGAGGAAGAAGAAAAGAAGAAAGAAGAUUGGCUUGGUGACAGACACCUUUGAUACCAGCACUCAGGAAGUAGAGAGCUCAGACAGUCCAACAACUUGCACCAGAGCCCUGGCCUUCAGCAUCCUUCACUUCUGCAGCCUUCGUGGUGCCAAGUCUAUUGACUUGGACCUCUGCCUCGUCUUUCUUCUCUUGCGCUUCAGCCUGCGCAUUCGCUUCUUCCGCCACUUGGUUCUCACGGUGCAGGAGUUUCAAAGAAGAUGGUGCUAACGCUGAGCGCAGCGUAUGUUCUUAACGACCAUUCCCAGCCCCCUGAUCAGACUUAACUUUCAAAUGCUUUCUUACCUUCUGUAGCUCCACUUCAGGUGAGGGCAUCUCAAGACCCUCCUCCGUGAUGAUGAUGAACACAGAAACCCUCAACUGGCCAAUGUAGAAUAAGAGACUUCGGAAUGUUCUGCCCGGAAUGGAACACACAUGUCAUGCCCCUCCAUCAAAGACUCAGAAUCAUUGCAGAAGAGGACAGGGGGCUGUGAGCACACAGCAGGGCCGCUGCAUACA